rnacentral:lncRNA from 1 species
UCGUAACCCUGAGCUCUGUUUUUAACCUAUGAGCCGAGCUUCUGACCUUCUUAGGUAAUAAGCAUGGCUGGUCUCUAUCAUGCUUCCAUCUGCUUGUGUCUUUGAGCUUUUUAUUUAUCUUUUUCCGAGCUGGAUCAGUCGUAAUCCUGAGCUCUGCUUUUAACCUGCGAGCCGAGCUUCUGACCUUCUUAGGUAAUGAGCAGGACUUGGUUUUUAUCAUUGGGUGAGAUGUCCAAGUGGAGCCCGGUCUUAAGGUUUGAGCGAGUUGGGUUUGUUCUAUGCAGAUGGCAUGUGGGCUUUUGGGUGACAGGCUAUUGCCAUGGGCUUGGCCCUAGACCGGGUGAGGAAAAUCCAGUGGCCGUCGAUUGC